CGCUUGCAGUAAGCUCGGGACUCGUUCACGGGAGAAACCCAUGCCGCACACCCGCCAUCCGCACCUGCAUUCCAGUGCCUCGCGCCCUGGUUUGUCGUUGCGCGCGCGUGCGCCGCAGGCACCCCGUGCCGCGUAUUUCUUCGGGUAUUGGUUUAGCCACUCCGGCGCCUGAUACCCCAACGGCGCCCACGGUAUACGGGACGCCUACCCUGCACACGCAAACCCCCGGUCGGCUCCCCGACCGGGGG
rnacentral:ncRNA from 2 species